rnacentral:rRNA from 1 species
AAGUUACUUCGGUACAUCGGUGACAGGUGGUGCAUGGUUGUCGUCAGCUCGUGUCGUGAGAUGUUGGGUUAAGUCCCGCAACGAGCGCAACCCCUAUUGUUAGUUGCCAUCAUUCAGUUGGGCACUCUAGCGAGACUGCCGGUAAUAAACCGGAGGAAGGUGGGGAUGACGUCAAAUCAUCAUGCCCCUUAUGACCUGGGCUACACACGUGCUACAAUGGUUGGUACAACGAGUUGCGAGUCGGUGACGGCGAGCUAAUCUCUUAAAGCCAAUCUCAGUUCGGAUUGUAGGCUGCAACUCGCCUACAUGAAGUCGGAAUCGCUAGUAAUCGCGGAUCAGCACGCCGCGGUGAAUACGCUCCCGGGCCUU